rnacentral:rRNA from 1 species
GACGAACGCUGGCGGCGUGCUUAACACAUGCAAGUCGAACGGAAAGGCCCCUUUGGGGGUACUCGAGUGGCGAACGGGUGAGUAACACGUGAGUAACCUGCCCUUGACUUCGGGAUAACUUCAGGAAACUGGGGCUAAUACCGGAUAGGAAUCCUUGCUGCAUGGUGGGGGUUGGAAAGCUUCGGCGGUUUUGGAUGGACUCGCGGCUUAUCAGCUUGUUGGUGGGGUAGUGGCUUACCAAGGCUUUGACGGGUAGCCGGCCUGAGAGGGCGACCGGCCACAUUGGGACUGAGAUCCGGCCCAGACUCCUACGGGAGGCAGCAGUGGGGAAUAUUGCACAAGGGGCGGAAGCCUGAUGCAGCAACGCCGCGUGCGGGAGGACGGCCUUCGGGUUGUAAACCGCUUUCAGCAGGGGCGAAGCUUGUGGUGACGGUACCUGCAGAAGAAGCACCGGCUAACUACGUG